UACGUAGGUGACAAGCGUUGUCCGGAUUUACUGGGCGUAAAGAGCGCGCAGGCGGUCGUUCAAGUCGAGUGUGAAAGCCCCGGCUCAACUGGGGAGGGUCAUUCGAUACUGAUCGACUCGAAGGCAGGAGAGGGAAGUGGAAUUCCCGGUGUAGUGGUGAAUGCGUAGAUAUCGGGAGGAACACCAGUGGCGAAGGCGACUUCCUGGCCUGUUCUUGACGCUGAGGCGCGGAAAGCUAGGGGAGCAAACGGG
rnacentral:rRNA from 1 species